rnacentral:rRNA from 1 species
AACGAACGCUGGCGGCAUGCCUAACACAUGCAAGUCGAACGAUCCCUUCGGGGAUAGUGGCGCACGGGUGCGUAACGCGUGGGAACCUGCCCUUAGGUUCGGAAUAACUCAGAGAAAUUUGAGCUAAUACCGGAUAAUGUCUUCGGACCAAAGAUUGAUCGCCUUUGGAUGGGCCCGCGUUGGAUUAGCUAGUUGGUGGGGUAAAGGCCUACCAAGGCGACGAUCCAUAGCUGGUCUGAGAGGAUGAUCAGCCACACUGGGACUGAGACACGGCCCAGACUCCUACGGGAGGCAGCAGUGGGGAAUAUUGGACAAUGGGCGAAAGCCUGAUCCAGCAAUGCCGCGUGAGUGAUGAAGGCCUUAGGGUUGUAAAGCUCUUUUACCCGGGAUGAUAAUGACAGUACCGGGAGAAUAAGCCCCGGCUAACUCCGUG